UACAUGGGGUGCAAACGUUGCUCGGAAUUAUUGGGCGUAAAGCGCAUGUAGGCGGUUUGUUAAGUCGGAUGUGAAAUCCCUCGGCUCAACUGAGGAAGUGCAUCCGAAACUGGCAGGCUUGAGUACUAAAGAGGGUCGCGGAAUUCCCGGUGUAGAGGUGAAAUUCGUAGAUAUCGGGAGGAACACCGGUGGCGAAGGCGGCGACCUGGGGUAGAUACUGACGCUGAGGUGCGAAAGCGUGGGGAGCAAACAGGG
rnacentral:rRNA from 1 species